GACGUAGGGCGCGAGCGUUGUCCGGAUUUAUUGGGCGUAAAGAGCUCGUAGGCGGCUUGUUGCGUCGUCCGUGAAAACCUGGGGCUCAACUCCAGGCUUGCGGUCGAUACGGGCAGGCUAGAGUUCGGUAGGGGAGACUGGAAUUCAUGGUGUAGCAGUGAAAUGCGUAGAGAUCAUGAGGAAGACCAGUGGCGAAGGCGGGUCUCUGGACAGUUCCUGACACUGAGACACGAAGGCCAGGGGAGCAAACGGG
rnacentral:rRNA from 1 species